GAUGAACGCUGGCGGCGUGCCUAAUACAUGCAAGUCGAGCGAACAGACGAGGAGCUUGCUCCUCUGACGUUAGCGGCGGACGGGUGAGUAACACGUGGAUAACCUACCUAUAAGACUGGGAUAACUUCGGGAAACCGGAGCUAAUACCGGAUAAUAUAUUGAACCGCAUGGUUCAAUAGUGAAAGACGGUUUUGCUGUCACUUAUAGAUGGAUCCGCGCCGCACUAGCUAGUUGGUAAGGUAACGGCUUACCAAGGCAACGAUGCGUAGCCGACCUGAGAGGGUGAUCGGCCACACUGGAACUGAGACACGGUCCAGACUCCUACGGGAGGCAGCAGUAGGGAAUCUUCCGCAAUGGGCGAAAGCCUGACGGAGCAACGCCGCGUGAGUGAUGAAGGUCUUCGGAUCGUAAAACUCUGUUAUUAGGGAAGAACAAAUGUGUAAGUAACUAUGCACGUCUUGACGGUACCUAAUCAGAAAGCCACGGCUAACUACGUG
rnacentral:rRNA from 1 species